rnacentral:rRNA from 1 species
AACGAACGCUGGCGGCAUGCCUAACACAUGCAAGUCGAACGGGACCUUCGUGUCUAGUUGCGCUCGGGGGCGUAACGCGGGGGAACCUGCCCUUAUGUUCCGGAUACCUCCCCUUAGGGGGUGUUAAUACCGGAUAAUGUCUUCGGACAAAAGAUUUUUCGCCUUUGGGUGGGCCCGGGUUGGUUUGGUUAGUUGGGAGGGUAAUAGCCUAGCAAGGCUUGGUUCGCUAGCUGGUCUGAGAGGAUGACACGCCACACUGGGACUGCGACACGGCCCAGAAUCUUACGCGAGGGAGGAGUGGGGAAUAUAGGACAAUGGGGGAAGUCAUGAUACCGCAAUGCCGGGGGAGUGAUGAAGGCGGUAGGGAAGUACAGCUCUUUUACCCGGGACGAUAAUGACAGUACCGGGAGAAUAAGCACCGGCUAACUCCGUG